AUUUAUUUAUUUAUUUUUUUUGUUGUUAAUCAUCUUUUACUUUUAUUAAAGUAUGUUAUCGUAUUGAUUACCGUUAUCUAAACGCUACUGCCUUGAUUUUUGAAAAUGAAAUGAGAAAGACAGUACAGGGCCGUUGACCUACAUUAUGAAUAAAAUUUUAAAUUUCACUCUUGAUGGAUUGGGGUGACAUGCUUAAAAUUUUCGUAAGGAUUGGUAUUUGGCUGGAGUUGACUCUUUUUCUGAAUUUUUUUCAAAGAAACUUGUUAUUUUCUAGAGAAACUGUAGACUUCAGUUCAUGUAAUCUCGGAAGGUUCGUUUAAGUCAUCAGAUUUUUUUUUUUGUUUUUUAAAUCAUUGGCUUUGCUUCUUAUAAGAUCAUUCUAUGUAAGAGAAUUCUGGUAACGGAAUCGCCGUAGAGACAUGCAGAGAUUCUAUUGAACGCAAACACUUUUCCACUUUGGAUUUGCUUAGGACCAUAGAGCAGCGGUCAUUGGACUUGAAAAAUUCCUUAUCCGAGAUAUUCCGUUAUACAUAUAAAAAAACGUCGUAGUGGCCGUGUGGUAAGAGCCACGACAACCAAGUCAGUGUUCGAGGGAUCAAAUCUCAAAUGCGUUAGAGUUUCCUUUGGUCAUAGCUAUAGCGAGUGGUCAAGCGAUAAAGGCAUAACACUUAUCAAGCGGGCGCAGUAGGCUGUGGACACCAUUUUCUCUAUCUACUUUUCUUUCCUCUUCUUCUCUGACUGCCACCCGCGUUACACGAAAAGGAAUAUCCCCUAUCUGAUCAGUCCAUUAUGCAAAAAAAAAAAAUCCAGAAAAGAAAAUAUAAGAGAUGUUGACUUCUUAACGCGACCAUUUCCUUGGUCUACGGUAAAAAUAGUUUUGAGUUUAUUCAACUAUUUUACGAGUGGGUACUCAGUCAGUGAAGGUGUAUUAUUCAUAUAUCCUUCUCGUUGCUGUCUUCUUUCUGACCGUGUUUCCCUGUUACAUGAAUAAGAUGACCAUUUGGAGAGUUUUUAUUGGUGAAAAAAGCUCCAAGUCCUGUGACUAUGAAGUUGUACUGUAACACCUGGAACCACACCAAUGGAAAGAAGAAGAAACAAGUUUUGAGUCAAUCUUCUUUUGAUCGGGGAGGGGGUCGUUAUAUAACUGCAGUGCCGAUUUCCUAGCUAGCUACUUCAGCGCUCGAAACUAGAGAAGUUUCGUACGCCUGCGAAUGACGCUAUAUCCGACUCGUGCACCACCGAGAAUCGUUAAGUAUAGACGCAUAGAUAUCCACGUUUAACCUUCAGAAACUUCCGUACGUAAAAUAAAGGACUUAGAGAUUUCGCGAGUGAAAAAAGGGAAGCUUCAUUGAUAAUUGAAAAAGAACACUUACUAGCUCUAAUCACCUAAGAAAGGUACAAUUUUAAAGGAUUUAGGUUUCACUGAAAGCAGUUGGAACAACGCUUGGUUUUGAAAGAAAAUAUUUAACAUUAGGUGUUGAAAUAUUUAUGAGACAUGCACGGGACGGGCACAACUUGCUACUAAACCCAUAUUUUUGAUGUUAUCAAUUCAAUCGCUACGUUAGUCUGCGAAGUUUUAGGUUAGUUCAGAAUAAUGAAAUUCAAAAUACUCAAAUUCAUUCUGAAUGCGAAGAUAUAUAUUAAAGUAAUCAACGCUGUCUGUGCU